AGUAGUGGAACUUGCCUUUAUCUGAAGCAUUAUUGGUCAUAUUUAUGAAAAAAGCUUGUGGCAACUGUCUUCUCUGAAUAGCGGUCUUGUGAACACCGGCCUCAGUACAAUAAAGGUAAGGUAUUUCAUCCUUAAACAGUUUUACAGUAGUAGAGCAGUUUUUGACUCAAUCAUGUGCUAUGCUUAUUUGCAAUUUCAAAUAAUUUCUUGCAGUUCCAGUAUACCUGUUACCGUAUUUCCGUGUUUGUAACUGUAUUUAUUUUCUUCCUUUCUUUUCACAAAUCUAAGAGGACACUUCACAUUCUACAACACCUAAAAAUAACCCAGAUUCGACAGAACUACACACCCAUCUGAGGCCUACCUGUUUUACUUCAUGAUCACCCCAGAUACUUCUACAAUUAACCCGCUAUGCACGGUCUGAUGAACUGUUCUUGAUCCAGAACUCUUAGCUGAACACUGAACCGUGCUGUAGAACACCUGGAGUGACGUCGCUGCUCAGGGUGUCUGAUGUUGAUGCGGUCUGGGCACUAGUAUCUGUUGGCUUGCUGACUAUCACUGAAGAUGAAGUACUUUUCCAAAUCUUCUCUGCCUUGACCCUGUGUCUUCUGCCAUCAUUGUUCAGUGUAGUACUGCAAAGAACAGUCUCCAGGGUCUACCUCCAACAUCUGCUUCCGGACCGCCAUGUGCUAUGUUUGGAUUACUGGUACAUGUGGAUUACCCUGAUACUGUGAAGAACACUUACAAUAUGAUGCUUGACUUGGGACAGAAAAAAAAAACAUUGGCAACUUGUGUGGCCAACUCAUUGCCAUUCUUAAUCUCAUCAUACUGCUACCUCUGCUGUUUAGCAUAAACAAAAGCAGACUGUUUUUGCUUUGUUUCAAAAUGUUUGUAAUACAAGUUAAAACUGCAUUGAAAUAUUUAAAAAAUAUAUUAUCUUUAACUUUGAACUG
ensembl:lncRNA